rnacentral:misc_RNA from 1 species
GAUGAAGAACGUAGCGAAAUGCGAUAAGUAGUGUGAAUUGCAGAAUUCAGUGAAUCAUCGAAUCUUUGAACGCUCAUUGCGCCCAUAGGUAUUCCUUUGGCCAUGCCUGUUCGAGCGUCAUUUACACCCUCAAGCCUAGCUUGGUGUUGGGCGUCUGUCCCGCCGUUUUCGCGCGCGGACUCGCCUCAAAGUCAUUGGCGGCGGUCGUGCCGGCCCCCUCGCGCAGCACAUUUGCGAUUCUCGGAGGCCCGGCGGAUCCGCGCUCCAGCAAGACCUUUCACGACUUGACCUCGGAUCAGGUAGGGAUACCCGCUGAACUUAAGCAUAUCAAUAAGCGGAGGA